UCACAGAAACAAUUACGUGAUACGUGGGGAGCAAUCCAAUGUCAGCUCGACAAGUUUUGGCAGCGUUUCCUGGUAGAGUAUCUUCCAGUUAUCAGGAGACAACCGAAAUGGUUUGACGAAACCAGACCCUUGAAGGUGGGUGACCUUGUCCUGGUCGCGGACGGUGCUAGACGUAGUGAGUGGGCACGAGGGAAGGUUACACAGAUCUUCGAAGGAUCUGAUGGCCGAGUUCGCCAAGCGACCGUACAAACUCAACAGGGAGUCUACAGACGACCAACAACUAAGUUGGCUGUGCUCGACGUACAUGGACAAUGUGCUGCCCCAGAAGGUGGAGGGAAGCACCGGGGGGAGACUGUUACCGGUACCGUCGAGAUGGGCACCCUAUCCCAACCGGUCCGACCGCAUGACUGAUUAACACGUCAUGCCUCAUCGAUGCGAUGGAACAAAAACAAACACGAUUACCAUUAGUAUACAGCGUGAAGAAUUUCGGCUUACUAUUUUACUAUUUUUUCUUAUAAUUAUACCUUAUAACGAACAGUUAGUGCUUAAAACUAGUUUGUUCAUCCAAUUAUCAACUAGUAGAGGAGCUAAGUCUAACCUUGAAGUUGGACAGAGAAAUAGAAGGGUCUAGAACACUAAGGACCACUGAAAAUUUUGAAGCAUCAAUAAACUAGCUACAAACAUCAGUGUGUAGCCCUUUGUUUCCUGUCGCAACAGUA